rnacentral:rRNA from 1 species
UACGUAGGGGGCAAGCGUUGUCCGGAUUUACUGGGCGUAAAGCGCGCGUAGGCGGAACUUCAAGUCCGGUCUGAAAGCCCCCGGCUCAACCGGGGAGGGUGGCUGGAAACUGGGGUUCUUGAGGGCGAGAGAGGAGGGUGGAAUUCCUGGUGUAGCGGUGAAAUGCGUAGAGAUCAGGAGGAACACCCGGGGCGAAGGCGGCCCUCUGGCUCGACCCUGACGCUGAGGCGCGAAGGCCAGGGGAGCAAACGGG